rnacentral:rRNA from 2 species
GUGAGAUGUUGGGUUAAGUCCCGCAACGAGCGCACCCCUUGUCCUUAGUUGCUACGCAAGAGCACUCUAAGGAGACUGCCGGUGACAAACCGGAGGAAGGUGGGGAUGACGUCAAGUCCUCAUGGCCCUUAUGGGUAGGGCUUCACACGUCAUACAAUGGUCGGAACAGAGGGUUGCCAACCCGCGAGGGGGAGCUAAUCCCAGAAAACCGAUCGUAGUCCGGAUUGCACUCUGCAACUCGAGUGCAUGAAGCUGGAAUCGCUAGUAAUCGCGGAUCAGCAUGCCGCGGUGAAUACGUUCCCGGGUCUUGUACACACCGAA